CCUACGGGCGGCAGCAGUGGGGGAUAUUGCACAAUGGGGGCAACCCUGAUGCAGCGACGCCGCGUGGGCGAAGAAGUAUUUCGGGAUGUAAAGCACUAUCAGCAGGGAAGAAGAAAUGACGGUACCUGAGUUUGUAGCACCGGCUAAAUACGUGCAAGCAGCCGCGGUAAUACGGAUGGUGCAAGCGUUAUCCGGAUUUACUGGGUGGAAAGGGUACGCAGGCGGCACGGCAAGGCGGAUGUGAAAGCCCGGGGCUCAACCGGGGGACUGCAUUGGGAACUACCCGGCUAGAGUGUCGGAGAGGGAGGCAGAAUUCCAAGUGUAGCGGUGAAAUGCGUAGAGAUGAGGAGGAACACCAGUGGCGAAGGCGGCCUACUGGACAAUGACUGACGCUGAGGCGCGAAAGCGUGGGGAGCAAACAGGAUUAGAUACCCUGGUAGUC
rnacentral:rRNA from 1 species